UACUGCUCUCUUUUCCACGUCCGUAAACAAGUUGGGUGUAAUUUCAAAGUAAGAUACUUCUACCUCCUGCCUUGUCUCACUUACUGGCAAGACUACAGAAUAAGACUGGUCUUUGCAAAGCAGAAUUAUUUUUUUUCCAAUAACCUGCAUCUGACACCAUUUUUUUUCCUAGAAUUUUCAGGAGAAAAAAAAAAAGAAAAAAAAAAAAGAACGAUGCAAAAUUCCACUCCCCCUCUCCCCCCAAGACAACAAGGUCUUCAGACUUGAAAGAACUUGAAAAACAGUCACAGAAAACAUGCUUGGAACAAGAGCUAAUUCAUCAAUCUAUGUACUCGGAACUGGAAAAGUUGUGACAGCUGCAAUAUUUAUGUUUAUGAAUUUACAGUCUCUUUGCUACUUUCUUCUUCUUCUUCUUCUUCUCUUCUAAAUGUGUAUAUAUAUAUACAAUAUAUGUUAAACUAUUUGAUUUUAUGAUGAAUAAAUAAUUUCUACCACA
rnacentral:lncRNA from 1 species